GUAGGUUUGGGUGAUCAAUCGGUGAUGCUUCCCCUUUGAGAACUUUCGGUAUGAGUCGUUUCUCCCUUCUUACGCAUUACGUCAAGGCACCAGUAAGAGCAUGGACGAUCGUUUGAUUUUUACCAAUACUACGUGCAGGAAUCUACAGUGCACUGUUGUGAUUGGAUAUUAUUGCUUUAGGAACUUAUGCUUUUGCUACCUUCUAUUUUCUAUACUUGUAUGUUGCCCAAUUCAUUUGAAGUUCAUGCUUUGUGCUUUUGGGGUUAACCUUUCAAUACCCUUUGCCCAUGUCCUUGGAAGGCAUUAGUGCAUGACACCGAUAUGAGGGUCAACAAGCUGACAAGACAUGAUUUUUUCUUGACUCGGUUGCCUGUGAUUUAACUUUGCCAUUUGGUUAAUAGAAUACUUUAACGUGCUAUUGCUAGUAGGUAUCUAAAGCUCUCUCCCUCCUCUCUUAUCAUAUACUCACAUGCUGCUAUUUUCUUUUCAGAUUGAGGAGAUGCAUCGUGAACUUUGCAGCUUGGUAAUAUGUUUUAUUCCACCAAUGUCUACGCCUCAGCCUCCAG
rnacentral:lncRNA from 1 species